AGAGAGAGACAUGCGCGCAUAUCAAUAAGCGGAGGAAAAGAAACUAACAAGGAUUCCCUUAGUAACGGCGAGUGAAGCGGGAAGAGCUCAAAUUUGAAAUCUUCAAGGUUUUACCUUGACGAAUCUAUAGUUUAAAGAAGUGUUUUCUGCUGAAGUUUUGGUAAAAGUUCUUUGGAAUAGGACAUCAUAGAGGGUGAGAAUCCCGUAUUUGACCAUUAUUUUCAGCUUUGUGAUACACUUUCAAAGAGUCGGAUUGUUUGGGAAUGCAGUCCAAAAUGGGUGGUAAAUUUCAUCUAAAGCUAAAUAUUGGCGAGAGACCGAUAGCGAACAAGUACCGUGAGGGAAAGAUGAAAAGAACUUUGAAAAGAGAGUUAAACAGUACGUGAAAUUGUCAAAAGGGAAGCGUUUGACACCAGUGUUGUUUUCUCGAAAAUCAAUUAAAAAUGGCUCGAUUUUGUAUUGUUGAGACCUUAAAAGCUCACUGUACAUUUUUCGUGUCUUUUUUAAUGCACUUUUCGUUUAACAAGUCAACAUCAGUUUCUUUUGUUGUAAAAGGGUCAUUGGAAGGUGGCUUUCUUUUCGGAGAAAGUGUUUAUAGCCUUUGGCCUCUGCAAUCGAAGAGACUGAGGUCUGCAGCGUAGACUCUUCGGGGUUAGAUACAUUUGUGCUAAGUUAUAGCUUUUUAUAGACAACUUGUUGACUAUAAUUAGUCUUGUAGCUUACUCGCUUAUGCUAUUUUACCUACGCUUAGGAUGUUGAGUCGUAGAGCACGCAG
rnacentral:rRNA from 1 species